rnacentral:rRNA from 2 species
UGGGCGUAAGCGCGCGCAGGCGGUUCCUUAAGUCUGAUGUGAAAGCCCCCGGCUCUACCGGGGAGGGUCAUUGGAAACUGGGGAACUUGAGUGCCCAAGAGAAGAGUGGAAUUCCACGUGUAGCGGUGAAAUGCGUAGAGAUGUGGAGGAACACCAGUGGCGAAGGCGACUCUUUGGUCUGUAACUGACGCUGAGGCGCGAAAGCGUGGGGAGCAAACAGGAUUAUAUACCCUGGUAGUCCACGCCGUAAACGAUGAGUGCUAAGUGUUAGAGGGUUUCCCCCCUUUAGUGCUGCAGCAAACGCAUUAAGCACUCCGCCUGGGGAGUACGGCCGCAAGGCUGAAACUCAAAGGAAUUGACGGGGGCCCGCACAAGCGGUGGAGCAUGUGGUUUUAUUCGA